UACGUAGGGAGCGAGCGUUGUCCGGAAUUACUGGGUGUAAAGGGAGCGUAGGCGGGGGUACAAGUUGGGUGUUAAAUCUACCGGCUCAACUGGUAGUCGCACUCAAAACUGUAUCUCUUGAGUGAAGUAGAGGCAGGCGGAAUUCCUAGUGUAGCGGUGAAAUGCGUAGAUAUUAGGAGGAACACCAGUGGCGAAGGCGGCCUGCUGGGCUUUUACUGACGCUGAGGCUCGAAAGUGUGGGGAGCAAACAGG
rnacentral:rRNA from 1 species